rnacentral:rRNA from 1 species
GGACAGAUGAUUGGGGUGAAGUCGUAACAAGGUAGCCGUAGGAGAACCUGCGGCUGGAUCACCUCCUUUCUAAGGA